rnacentral:rRNA from 1 species
AAAGCCUGAUCCAGCCAUGCCGCGUGUGUGAAGAAGGUCUUCGGAUUGUAAAGCACUUUAAGUUGGGAGGAAGGGCAGUAAGUUAAUACCUUGCUGUUUUGACGUUACCGACAGAAUAAGCACCGGCUAACUUCGUGCCAGCAGCCGCGGUAAUACGAAGGGGGCUAGCGUUGUUCGGAAUUACUGGGCGUAAAGCGCACGUAGGCGGGCAUUUAAGUCAGGGGUGAAAUCCCAGAGCUCAACUCUGGAACUGCCUUUGAUACUGGGUGUCUUGAGUAUGGAAGAGGUAAGUGGAAUUCCGAGUGUAGAGGUGAAAUUCGUAGAUAUUCGGAGGAACACCAGUGGCGAAGGCGGCUUACUGGUCCAUUACUGACGCUGAGGUGCGAAAGCGUGGGGAGCAAACA